rnacentral:rRNA from 1 species
AUGCAAGUCGAACGGUAACAGGGAGUGCGUGCACUUCGCUGACGACCGGCGCACGGGUGCGCACCGCGUAUGGAACCUACCUUUUACAGGGGGAUAGCCCAGGGAAACUUGGAUUAAUACCCCGUAGUACCUUUUGUAGCAUUGCAAGACGGUUAAAGCCUUCGGGCGGUAAAAGAUGGCCAUGCGUCCCAUUAGCUUGUUGGUAAGGUAACGGCUUACCAAGGCAACGAUGGGUAGGGGCCCUGAGAGGGGGAUCCCCCACACUGGUACUGAGACACGGACCAGACUCCUACGGGAGGCAGCAGUGAGGAAUAUUGGACAAUGGGCGGGAGCCUGACCCAGCCAUGCCGCGUGCAGGAAGAAUGCCCUAUGGGUAGUAAACUGCUUUUAUACGGGAAGAAAUAGGGAUACGUGUAUCCUUUUGACGGUACCGUAAGAAUAAGGACCGGCUAACUCCGUGCCAGCAGCCGCGGUAAUACGGAGGGUCCGAGCGUUAUCCGGAAUUAUUGGGUUUAAAGGGUCCGUAGGCGGGCCGGUAAGUCAGUGGUGAAAGUCUGCAGCUCAACUGUAGAACUGCCUUUGAUACUGCUGGUCUUGAGUUAUGGUGAAGUUGCCGGAAUAUGUAGUGUAGCGGUGAAAUGCAUAGAUAUUACAUAGAACACCGAUUGCGAAGGCAGGUGGCUACCAUAUACUGACGCUGAUGGACGAAAGCGUGGGGAGCGAACAGGAUUAGAUACCCUGGUAGUCACGCCGUAACGAUGGAUACUAGCUGUCCGG